AAUAGAAUGAAAUUCAAAACAGUGUGGCUGUGGCCAUUGAUUGACACAUUAAAUUCAUUCAUUGACUGGGACAAUUUAGGUGAACGUUUGUAUGUAAAGACCACUGCUCACUAUGUACUUUUUAAAGACACUUAAACUAUGGGGUCACCAAAGGUUCUCACCACCUUAAUAAAGUAAUUCGAAAAAUUAAUCAGAAAUAACACGAUGUUUUGAUUUAUAUCAAUUAUAUAAAUCAAAACAUAAAGGUUAUUCCUGAUUGAUUUUUCGAAUUAUUUUAUAAUUAAAGGCGUUAAGAAACCUUUGGUGACCCCACAGUUUAAAUGUCUAUCGUAGGUACGUCGUGAACAGUGGUCGUUACAGACAAACGUUCACGUAAAUUGUCCCAGUCAAUGGAUGAAUUUAAUGUGUCAAUCAAUGGCCACAGCCACAC
rnacentral:lncRNA from 1 species